rnacentral:piRNA from 1 species
UGUGCUCAGAUGUACUAACCCUGUUUGUU